UUAUGAUUUUUCUCUUUAUAUUUUCCAAUCCAUUAUAGGAUUUCAAUCCAGAUUGGUUGUUAUUUGUUUUCCUUCUCUGUCAUACUUAUUGAUUACUUUUACCUAUUUUUUAUCGCAUAUGCUACUGGAGAAGAUGUAGCUCUGAAAGAGGAUUAAACGUUGAACCAAAAAGUAGAUAAGAGCUAUUCUUUAUUUUUAAUAGCAGGAAGUGGCAAUUAAAUGGUGUAAGGGGCUUCAAUUAAGGUAUAUUAAACAGAAGUUCCAGGACAUUUACAAAAUAUUAUGAAUCCAAGUGUACUUUAAAAGGGCUGUUGGACAUAAGAAUUUGUUCUACAUUGAUGACAAGGAUGUUGAGUUAUGAAUCCAAGUGCACUUUGAAAGGGCUGUUGGAUAUAAGAAUUUGUUCUACGUUGAUGACAAGGAUGUUGAGUUCAGAAAUAUGUUUCCUAAUGCUCUCCGCAUGGGUUUUGGUGCAGAAGUAGUUGAUGCUCGAAUCUCUCGACACUCAAGUUUGAUCAUCUAGAUGUGCCACGGUUGAAAAAACAAAAAGAGUUUUGCUGGUGUAGACAUGAAAACAAAAGUAUUAUGUACAAAAGGUACAAAAUGGGAGAGAGUUUUAAGGCAAAUGAUUCGAUAUUAUUCCAAACUUAAAAGGUACAAAAGUAGUUUGGGUUGGUUUGUGUUUUUCUUUUCUAUUAUAAAGUUGGGGUGUUUACCUAUUCCAUCUCUAUAUAUACUGCUAUAAUGGUUAUGAAUUUGGGCUGCUACCAAUAUCUCCGAGUUUGUGAGCACCAGAAGCGUGAGUGGUGUUAUUUAAGAAAUUAAGAUGGCAUAGUUUAAAACUUAUUAGAUGGAACAUUUUAUUUUAAUUUUUUUGUUGAAAGUCACAAUACCUUCAAUGUUUAUUGGAGGUUUCUACAUUUGCAGUAGUGUUAUAGUAGCAACUGAUUUGUCUUUUUAUUCUAACUAUAGAUAUAGCUUUGCAUUCGUUAUUAACGUUAUUCGAAGAAUCAUGUUGCAUCACAAUUUUUAAGCAUUUGGAUCGUAAGUUUUGCGUUUUUGUUUUUUAUGGAUGGGUUUCUAGAGUCAACCGUUGCAAGUUAAUGGUCGCCUUUGGGAUUGGAUCAACCGUGUGAACUUAGUUUACAAUUCAUUUAUCUGAGAAAUCUACGUCUCUCUUUUAAACUAUUUAUGAUUGUAGAUUACUACUGACUAAUGACUAUCGAGGUUAGCUUCAGGGUAAAGGGCAAUACUAAGCUGAAAUAAUUAUGAUUUCUUAUAACGACCAUAAAUGAAAGGGACAGACGUACGGUAUUCAGACAAAUUCCAAGUAAGACCCCAGAUCCAUUAGAAAUGGUAGAUGGGAUGGAAUUGGAAAAACAACUUGGAGAGUUUUCCAUUUCAUAAAAUUUAAAAGCUGCUGGGAUGAGUUUAUGUAUUCUCUGUUCAAGUCAUGCAACCAGCUUGGAGAGUACCUCAUUUGACUUUACUUUGUGCCAGUAAAUCGGUAAAGCAUCCACAUCUUAUGCCAUCAACUCGAUCCAAGAUGGGCAAGUUGCUAACGGUACCGGUGUUAUAUUAAGUGUAUGUGAUGGUGAAGUUGGGCACUACAAAACUGCUACAUUGACAACAGUUGUUGUUCCUGCACUACUGCUUCCUCCUCGGAUUGCCACUUUAGUUGAGUAUGUAACAUGUGCUACUCUGGGUUCUGAAAUUAUGGAGGAUCCGUUUAGUACUCCAGUAAAUUAAUCUUGGAGGGCUGCAGAUCCGAAGUUGUUUAACGGUGUAACGGGGAAAAUAACGAGAAAAUGAAUGAAGCAUUCCUGCGCCCCUACGCCGAGUAAGUUUCUCUCAGGUCAAGCUAUGAUGCAUAUGUAUGCGUUAAGCAUACAACUAUUCCUAGAAACAAACUCUGAUAUAUGUGUAUACACUAUAAUCUGUAUUGACACGUGGAGGACAAUCAGAAGCCGCAGCUGGAUAUAAUUGUAUAACAGCAUACACCGAAUCAUUUAUAAGCCUGCUUCAUUAUUAAGCUAAGGAUAAACAUGUCAUUUGGCGGAAGAUAUUUUCCCCUUAAAAGCCUGACGAUUAGGUCUGAAAAAAGGGGAGCGACUUCUUCUCUUCUCUCUCGACCUAAAAACUCUCUGCACUUCCCUCUUUUGUAAUGAAGUCCCGUUGGAACUGAGCAAGGAUUAAUGGAAACCUUAACUCUCUUUUACCCGUGGAUGUAGACAUUCUGUCGAACCACGUAUAUUAUUGUGUUCUAUUUUA